CGAUGAGGAUACAAACUGUAAGAUCUAGUUCCUGCCUUUGCGAAGUAUAUAAUGAGCAGAAGAGAAAGAGCACCACGUAGCCGGGGUUUCUACGCCUUGCAGUGAGAGCUGCGCUCCAGGUGCACUCUGCAGGGGGCUGGAGCUUGGAGGACCACCUGCUCCAGCUGGCAGUGGGUUGGAGGCGGGUGUUCUGGGAAGGCUUCCCGGAGGAGGUCCAAGGGCCCGCGUUCCAUCUUGGAAAGAACAGAUGACUGCUUGCUGAAAGGAAGAGGGGAGACACAGAAGGGGAACCACGCAGAGGUGCGGGCAGCUUCGUGAGCUCGGGGAACUCUGGCUGCUCUAUGAUCAGGGAGGGGAGAUUUCAAGCCCCAUCAGGUGGUUGUGGUUAAUGCUUAAAAACGGAGCCUGCUGUUUUUUGGGCUCUCCCUUCCUUGCGAGCUCCUCACUGCUGUGAGCAAUAGAAGACACACAUCUUUGAAGACUGGGUGGCGGUGUCCAUUUCACAAAAUACUGAGGACAGCUACAGUCAGGCAGGCAAUCGUGGUGGAAAUGCAAUCUUCGCCCAGGCCUGGAGGCAGCUAGGCACUGUGUAGGUCACCUAUCCCAGGAGAUGCCUGCUGGAAAUAGUGAGAAUGGAAGCCGCAGUUCCAGGCAGUAUCCUCCACCCUGAGGAGUUCCUUUCCAAGGAAACACAGAUCCAACCACGGAAGCCCCGGAGGACCAGCCUGGGUCUUCACGGAGCGUCACUUAGCUGUGGUCAUGUCACCUGAUGUCAGUAGGCCACCAUUAUUGGGGAUGUCACCUUUCAACCCUUGAUUCAGAUGGGGUCCACAUAUGUAUCCGCUGUAGAAACACCCUGUCCCCCCUCGAAAUUACUUAAGCAUAAGCAAUUAAUGAGCUGUGAAAUGGCAACAUAACCUGUUCCUCAACGACCUUCCCCCAGUGGCUUUAGCCUUCAUUGAUGACUCCGCCAGGAUCCCAUGACAGCUGCAACGUGGUAAUGCGUUAAAUAAUUCUUUUUCAAACUGUUAGUCAGCAUUCUGUAAAGAAAAGCUUUCCCUUUUCCUUCCUCGUCUCUAGUAUUUUUUUACUUACCCGUUUAUUUGUAUUUCUUGUAUGAACUCAAUGCGUUCUUUUUUCUCCCAAUGUAUUCUAAUGUAUUCCUGUCAUUAUUUCUUUAGAUACUUCCACCUAAUUUGACUAAGCUAGUUCCUUAUUGUAUUUCUAUUUGGGUGGCUUUUUGGGGACAGAGAUCCUCCAAAGCUUAACACCUUUUUUGAGUCCCCUCUUGCCUCAUGAUAAAAUCUCGACUCACUGUCCAAUCCAAAUACCCUAAGUGGCUCACAAGACCCCUGGGGUUCUUCCUUGCUUGCCCCUCUAGGCUCCUGUGCCCUCCGCCCACCUCCCCAACUUGCCUUUUUGCUUUGUCAGGCUCAAACACUUCUGUUUUGACCUGGACUGGCUUCCCCCUCCCUGCCAGAUGCUUACCCGUAGCCUCUCCACUCUUGUCUCCUUGGCCUUGGCUUACUUAUCCCUUUCUCGGAUCCCCCUGCAAGCUGGCUCUGGCCCCUCCUGGGCUUGCUCCCACCGCAGUUCCGUGCACACACCGCACACACCGUAGGAGCCUUAUCCCAUAGGAGCCUUACUGUCUGUCCACUUGCUUCCUAGGCUGCUCCUCUGUGCGAUCUCCCCAGCACUCAGCACAGCCCCGCAGGGGGAGCAGGUAUCUGGUGAGGACUUGUUUAAUAAAUAAGUGAGUAGUUCUAAAUCAUCAGGAAUAGAGUUUGAGCCGUGUGGCUAAGCCACAAAUGAGCUUGCUAACAUAGAGGUAAUUUUCAAUGAUGAUAUACACAAUGUCGAGAAAAAGUGUUCAUUUUUCACAGAAAAUGCUGGGAGAAUAAAAGAAAAUGUUCUCAGAUACUUGCUGAAAUUUAGGCCUUUACGAAGAGAAAAAUAUGUUGGUUUUUUCAUUGGGCAAUUCAACAGACAUUUAUUAAGGACAUACUAUGCGCCCCCCCAACAUACACACACACACACACACCUGGUGUAGAUAACUACAGAUGGUUUCUGCCCUGUGCAACUGACCACAGGCGGGCCUGACCGGCAUGCCCGCAGCAAGUUCUAGCAGCGUCGUAGUGCUAUGAAUAGAGCACCAUGACGACCCAGAAAGGAAACCAACUGUCGAAAAGGAGAAGAUUUAAAUGGUUGACAUUUGAGUGGCACCUUGAAAAUGAAGCCUGAUUUUACCAGAAGCGGAAGAGAGAAAGGACAGUCCAGGCAGAGGGAAGAGAACAGAUGGAGGGCACUGAAGAGCCAAAGUGCUCGGAAGGGAAAAGAGGCCCCAGGCUCAACUUUGCAAGCAGCAGACAUCUGAGCCCAUGCCGCUCCUGCUCUGUUCUUUUAAAGGACUGUCAGUGUGCCUGGGAGCCUCAGUCAGUGAAGAAUCUGCUUUUGAUUCAGGUCCUGGUCCCGGGGUCAUGGGAUGGAGCCCCACAUGGAGCCCCCCAGUGAGCUCCUUGCUCAGCGGGGAACCUGCUUCUCCCUCUGUCUACUGCUCCCCCUGCUUGGGCUCUGACAAAUAAAUAAAACCCUUUUAAAGGACUGUCACUAAAGGGUACCAUCCUGCAGUGUAAAGCCCGUCCUUUAUUCAUGACUACACCCAGUGACUCCCCCAG